UUUUCUGUUGUUUUCUCAGUUUAAUGUUAACGUUGGCAAGAAGUAGAUUGUGGUCAGUGUCUGCAUCAGCACUAGGAUAUGUUUUAACGCUUUUAAUCCGGCGUGUAUUGUAAAGAUAAAAACAACUGCAAACUGCAUUAACUGUAGAACCCCGUAUGGCAGUAAUAGUAAACAAUCCCAACUUUAUUUUUAAACUUCAUCAAGUACGUCAACCUCUAUGAGCCAUAAAUUCCCUUUAUUGCGUCCCAAUAAUAAAAAUAAACCCGAUUGAUAUUUUUAAACAACAUCGCGAAAAAAACAAUAUCGUCCGAAAAUAGUUUUAUUUCUUUUCGUGUAGCCGAUUCCUUGGCAAUUUUUUUGAGAUUCGUGAGAAACUCCACCCCCGCUCCUGGUACGUCAAGAAAAUCGGGAAUGCCGGGAUGCUCCUUACGGACACGCGGGUCUUCUGAAUUUCUGAAUCUGUUCAGUUCGAUUGGUGUUGUGGUAGAGACAGGAAGAGCAAGAUAAAUAUUCACAAUGCCUCAUCCUAAUGAAGGGACUAGCUUACUCACCACCUACCUUAUCCUCAUCGCCCUUUUGAUAGCAUUAUGGGUGCUAUAUGCUGGUCUUUUAGGCUAAAAGUUAGGUUUAAUAUUCCGAAAAGUCCCAACAUACAACAUUCAAAAUUCCAAAAACACCUUAUCGACGCACCUCAUCCCAUCGACCAUCGCCGGAGCGUAGUGCAGAUCCCUGCACAAAGUCAAAAGUCAAGAAAAUGCCGCCGGAUAAAGUGACGCCAUUUUGUCGAAUUUCCAUCACUUGCUCGUGCAAGACUACGUAUUUAUAUUUUUAUAAUUGUUAAAUAUUUUAGACUAGAUCAUUGUUUAUGGUUAGGUGUAAAUAAACAUUAUCUGUUUUUA